AUUGAACGCUGGCGGCAGGCCUAACACAUGCAAGUCGAGCGGCAGCGGAAAGUAGCUUGCUACUUUGCCGGCGAGCGGCGGACGGGUGAGUAAUGUCUGGGAAACUGCCUGAUGGAGGGGGAUAACUACUGGAAACGGUAGCUAAUACCGCAUAAUGUCGCAAGACCAAAGAGGGGGACCUUCGGGCCUCUUGCCAUCAGAUGUGCCCAGAUGGGAUUAGCUAGUAGGUGGGGUAACGGCUCACCUAGGCGACGAUCCCUAGCUGGUCUGAGAGGAUGACCAGCCACACUGGAACUGAGACACGGUCCAGACUCCUACGGGAGGCAGCAGUGGGGAAUAUUGCACAAUGGGCGCAAGCCUGAUGCAGCCAUGCCGCGUGUAUGAAGAAGGCCUUCGGGUUGUAAAGUACUUUCAGCGGGGAGGAAGGUGCUGAGAUUAAUAACCUCAGCAAUUGACGUUACCCGCAGAAGAGGCACCGGCUAACUCCGUGCCAGCCGCCGCCGUAA
rnacentral:rRNA from 1 species